rnacentral:rRNA from 1 species
CCUACGGGGGGCUGUAGUGGGGAAUAUUGGACAAUGGGGGCAACCCUGAUCCAGCCAUGCCGCGUGUGUGAAGAAGGCCCUCGGGUUGUAAAGCACUUUCAGUGAGGAAGAACGCCUGGUGGUUAAUACCCAUCAGGAAAGACAUCACUCACAGAAGAAGCACCGGCUAACUCCGUGCCAGCAGCCGCGGUAAUACGGAGGGUGCGAGCGUUAAUCGGAAUUACUGGGCGUAAAGCGCGCGUAGGUGGCUUGAUAAGCCGGUUGUGAAAGCCCCGGGCUCAACCUGGGAACGGCAUCCGGAACUGUCAAGCUAGAGUGCAGGAGAGGAAGGUAGAAUUCCCGGUGUAGCGGUGAAAUGCGUAGAGAUCGGGAGGAAUACCAGUGGCGAAGGCGGCCUUCUGGACUGACACUGACGCUGAGGUGCGAAAGCGUGGGUAGCGAACAGGAUUAGAUACCCCAGUAGUC